rnacentral:rRNA from 1 species
GACGAACGCUGGCGGCGUGCUUAACACAUGCAAGUCGAACGCUGAAGGCCUGGCUUUUGUUGGGUUGGAUGAGUGGCGAACGGGUGAGUAACACGUGAGUAACCUGCCCUCUUCUUUGGGAUAACGCCCGGAAACGGGUGCUAAUACUGGAUAUUCACUGAUCUUCGCAUGGGGGUUGGUGGAAAGGUUUGUUCUGGUGGGGGAUGGGCUCGCGGCCUAUCAGCUUGUUGGUGGGGUGAUGGCCUACCAAGGCUUUGACGGGUAGCCGGCCUGAGAGGGUGACCGGUCACAUUGGGACUGAGAUACGGGCCAGACUCCUACGGGAGGCAGCAGUGGGGAAUAUUGCACAAUGGGCGAAAGCCUGAUGCAGCGACGCCGCGUGAGGGAUGGAGGCCUUCGGGUUGUAAACCUCUUUCGCUCAUGGUCAAGCCGCAACUGUGGGUUGUGGUGAGGGUAGUGGGUAAAGAAGCGCCGGCUAACUACGUG